AAAGUGUUAAGUUAUAAUAGACUGUAGUAUUUCAAGUAUUGAAGAGAGUUUUUUCACACUUUG
rnacentral:tRNA from 1 species